rnacentral:rRNA from 1 species
GACGAACGCUGGCGGCGUGCUUAACACAUGCAAGUCGAACGGAAAGGCCCUGCUUUUGUGGGGUGCUCGAGUGGCGAACGGGUGAGUAACACGUGAGUAACCUGCCCUUGACUUUGGGAUAACUUCAGGAAACUGGGGCUAAUACCGGAUAGGAGCUCAUGCUGCAUGGUGGGGGUUGGAAAGUUUCGGCGGUUGGGGAUGGACUGGCGGCUGAUCAGCUUGUUGGUGGGGUAGUGGCUUACCAAGGCUUUGACGGGUAGCCGGCCUGAGAGGGUGACCGGCCACAUUGGGACUGAGAUACGGCCCAGACUCCUACGGGAGGCAGCAGUGGGGAAUAUUGCACAAUGGGCGGAAGCCUGAUGCAGCAACGCCGCGUGCGGGAUGACGGCCUGCGGGUUGUAAACCGCUUUCGCCUGUGACGAAGCGUGAGUGACGGUAAUGGGUGAAGAAGCACCGGCUAACUACGUG